rnacentral:rRNA from 1 species
GAGACUUUAAGUCUCCUGAAGGAACGUUAAAGACGAUGACGUUGAUAGGCCGGGUGUGUAAGCGCAGCGAUGCGUUGAGCUAACCGGUACUAAUGAACCGUGAGGCUUAACCUU